rnacentral:rRNA from 1 species
AAUCAACGCUGGCGGCGUGCCUCAGACAUGCAAGUCGAACGCGAAAGUCCCCUUCGGGGGAUGAGUAGAGUGGCGCACGGGUGAGUAACACGUAGGUAAUCUACCUUCGGGUGGGGAACAACAACCGGAAACGGUUGCUAAUACCGCAUAAUGCAGCGGCACCUAAUGGUGACAGUUGUUAAAGCGGGGGAUCGCAAGACCUCGCGCCUGAAGAGGAGCCUGCGGCGGAUUAGCUAGUUGGCAGGGUAACGGCCUACCAAGGCGACGAUCCGUAGCCGGCCUGAGAGGGCGGUCGGCCACACUGACACUGACAUACGGGUCAGACUCCUACGGGAGGCAGCAGUCGGGAAUUUUGGGCAAUGGGCGAAAGCCUGACCCAGCAACGCCGCGUGAGGGAUGAAAUCCCUCGGGAUGUAAACUUCGCAAGAACGGGGAGAAUAAGCCGGUGUCAACACCACCGGCGAUGACGGUACCGUUUGUAAGCUCCGGCUAACUCCGUGCCAGCAGCCGCGGUAAUAC